UACGUAGGGUCCGAGCGUUAAUCGGAAUUACUGGGCGUAAAGCGUGCGCAGGCGGUUUUGUAACCCAGAUGUGAAAGCCCCGGGCUUAACCUGGGAAUGGCAUUUGGGACUGCAAGGCUGGAGUACGGCAGAGGGAGGUGGAAUUCCAGGUGUAGCAGUGAAAUGCGUAGAUAUCUGGAGGAACACCGAUGGCGAAGGCAGCCUCCUGGGCUAGUACUGACGCUCAUGCACGAAAGCGUGGGGAGCAAACAGG
rnacentral:rRNA from 1 species